UGUGUGUGUAUUUAAUCAAGCUGAAAGCUAGACUCUUUCUAGGUGGAAAUUCGCUGGAAUAUUGUCAGCUACUGUCAACUGCAGCAUCAGCUGUCAAGUGCACUUGCAGCUCUCUUGCUCUCUCUCUCCCACUCUCUCGCUGUCUGUCUUUC